UACGUAGGGUGCAAGCGUUGUCCGGAAUUAUUGGGCGUAAAGAGCUCGUAGGCGGUUUGUUGCGUCGGCUGUGAAAUCCCGAGGCUCAACCUCGGGUCUGCAGUCGAUACGAGCAAACUAGAGUGUUGCAGGGGAGACUGGAAUUCCUGGUGUAGCGGUGAAAUGCGCAGAUAUCAGGAGGAACACCCGUGGCGAAAGCGGCUCUCUGGGACGGUACUGACGCUGAGAAGCGAAAGCAUGGGGAGCGAACAGG
rnacentral:rRNA from 1 species